GUGUGCUACAAGGAGGUAUGUGUGUUCUCUUACCGUGGAAAAGCACCUACCUACCUAGACAAAAAUUAUUCCACAAAGUCUCAAUAGGGGUGAAGAUCAAGGAUUUCCCUGCUGACAACUUGCAAAUGCUGCUCUAAGCUUCUGCUUCCCAGAGAGGAGGAAAACAGCAACCAAAUUCACUCUGAGGGCAAAUAAUGGUCAACUGCCUGGAUGACAGGACUGAGGUGGGCUGGCAAGGUGCCUGAAUUAUUGCAGGCUUGAUUUCUGAGAUUCCCUCCACCUCCCCCACCACACACCUGUGUUCCUGUUCCCUACCACACC
rnacentral:lncRNA from 1 species